AUUAUAAAUCCCAAAUAUGAUCUUUCAAAGACAGGAAUAACUUUAUCUUCUCUUCAGAAAUUAAACAUUAUACAAUAAUGGCAAAGAACUGUCUUUCUGUUCCACCUUUACCAAACACGAAAUUUCAACUACAGUGGAAAAACAUAAAGCUACGGAAAGAACUAGACACCGUCCGACGUCAGUACCGAGAGAAUGUGUACGACAAAGUGAUCGAAAAUUUCAAAAAAACAAUGCGAUGAGGCAAAAUAUGAUAUUACUCCUAGCUAUGGAAAACUGAAGGAGCUGAUUAAAUCCUCGACCAGUGACGAGGUUCUGGAGGGAUGCAGGGUCCCCGAACACAAACACUCCAUACAGAACAAGAGAAUUUGCUGCUCUUCCACCGAUAACAUUUAUGAUGCUGUUGCCGCACGCUACGGUCAGUGUACGGGAGCAUUAGGUCUCCGGCAGACGUGUGCAGAGCUUGCAGGUUAUGUCGCUAUACCAAAAUGGAUAAAAGAUGUUACAGAAAUGCACAAGGCGGAAAUUGCUGCUGAAAACGAAGAACUUAAACAUUACGUACAAUGUUAUGACCAUAUGUUCGAGCGAGCACACAGAAGACUGAGCAACCUUCGACAGGAAUACGAAGAAUCAAAGCAAUAUCUGCCACCCAAACGAUAUCCACUUCUGAAGGAAAUGGUUAAAACUGUUAUAAGAGACAAAAAGCUGAUGCCUGACGGAUUUGAUGACUAAGCGUACAGUGAAUAAAAUGUAAAAUGGGUAUCACCAAUUCGUUUUUACAAAUCGCAGAUUUUAAAGUUGAAAUCUCACUGUUUAGAGCUCAUAUUUUCUUGCAAACGAAUUUUUAAACUACAGGGUAACUCUUGAAGCAUUUUGAAAAGACAGUUUUUAACCGAUGCUAGGUCAAGCCUUGACUUUCCAAGAAAAUAUGACCACAGUCAAACCUUCCAUUAUCCAAAAAGUGGCUGACUCUGGGAUUUUAAUUUGCACUAAUUCUUAUGGAAAUUAUUAACUUUUCGAACGACAACAACUUAUCUACGAUAUGUUGCAUUCAUUUCUGUAUCUUACGAAUCCACUUUUAUUAAUCUGUUUUGUCCUCGGUUUUUUUCAUUCUAUCCAUACUAUAUCAAUGAAUUAUCUUGUUUGUGUAUAGAUAAUAAAAGUUCAAUUUUUAAAACGUUC
rnacentral:misc_RNA from 1 species